GCUACCAUGCAGUCGAACGCGAAAGGGGAGCAAUCCCUGAGUAGAGUGGCAAACGGGUGAGUAACGCGUGGGUGACCUGCCCUCGAGUGGGGGAUAACGUCCCGAAAGGGGCGCUAAUACCGCAUAACAUUCUGGGUUUGAACAUCUGGAAAUCAAAGCUGGGGAUCGCAAGACCUGGCGCUUGAGGAGGGGCCCGCGUCCGAUUAGCUAGUUGGUGGGGUAAAAGCCUACCAAGGCGACGAUCGGUAUCCGGCCUGAGAGGGCGGACGGACACACUGGGACUGAGACACGGCCCAGACUCCUACGGGAGGCAGCAGUGGGGAAUUGUUCGCAAUGGGCGCAAGCCUGACGACGCAACGCCGCGUGGAGGAUGAAGGUCUUCGGAUUGUAAACUCCUGUUGCCAGGGACGAAUGACUCGCGACCUAACACGUCGUGGGAAUGACGGUACCUGGUGAGGAAGCCCCGGCUAACUCUGUGCCAGCAGCCGCGGUAAUACAGAGGGGGCAAGCGUUGUUCGGAAUUACUGGGCGUAAAGGGCGCGUAGGCGGCCCACUAAGUCAGACGUGAAAUCCCUCGGCUCAACCGGGGAACUGCGUCUGAUACUGGAGGGCUUGAAUUCGGGAGAGGGAUGCGGAAUUCCAGGUGUAGCGGUGAAAUGCGUAGAUAUCUGGAGGAACACCGGUGGCGAAGGCGGCAUCCUGGACCGAGAUUGACGCUGAUGCGCGAAAGCUAGGGGAGCAAACGGGAUUAGAUACCCCGGUAGUCCUAGCCCUAAACGA
rnacentral:rRNA from 1 species